rnacentral:tRNA from 1 species
CACUAAGAAGCUAAAUGGUUAGCACUAGCCUUUUAAGCUAGAAUUAGGGGACCAACACCCACCCUCACCCCCCCCCCCC